GGGGAUUUAGCUCAGUGGUAGAGCGCUUGCCUAGCAAAUGCAAGGCCCUGGGUUCAAUCCCCAGCUCCG
rnacentral:tRNA from 1 species